rnacentral:rRNA from 1 species
CACGUAGGGCGCAAGCGUUGUCCGGAAUUAUUGGGCGUAAAGAGCUCGUAGGCGGUCUGUUGCGUCUGCUGUGAAAACCCGGGGCUUAACCCCUGGCUUGCAGUGGAUACGGACAGACUAGAGGUAGGUAGGGGAGAAUGGAAUUCCCGGUGUAGCGGUGAAAUGCGCAGAUAUCGGGAGGAACACCGGUGGCGAAGGCGGCACUCUGGGCCGAUUCUGACACUGAGGAGCGAAAGCGUGGGGAGCGAACAGG